AGUUCCCAGGGACACAAACACUGCGGAAGGCCGCAGGGUCCUCUGCCUAGGAAAACCAGAGACCUUUGUUCACUUGUUUAUCUGCUGACCUUCCCUCCACUAUUGUCCUAUGACCCUGCCAAAUCCCCCUCUGCGAGAAACACCCAAGAAUGAUCAAUAAAAAAAAAAAUAAAAAAAAAAACAACCAAUCAACAAACAACCUCAUAAGCCCAGCAGACCGUGAAGGCCCCAGGAACUCAGGGCAGAAGUUAGCAAUGUGGGUUCUGCCCUCGUUGGCCAGAAAGGUGCGGUGUGGCCAUUUCACUUCCCUCGCUGGGCCUUGGAUUUCCUUACCAGAAACAUGAUGGUCAUAGUCACUGGCCAGUUGACUGCCCAGAGGUGGCACAAGGAUGAAAUGCAAUUGGACUCAGAGAACCGUACCAUGAGCCUAAAGCAUCUCAUCAUUCAACCCCACAAAUCUCAGGACAAAGUCAGUGCUCCACGGCGUCCAUCCCCGGCUCCUCCCUCCCUAACUGGCAGAGACCAGAGGGACACACACGUGCCUCAAGUUCACACAGCAACAUGGAACACCCAGGCCUCUCGUUUUCUGAAGCUUUUCCACCCCUCCAAACCUUUGCUAUAAUUAUCACCACUGCAACUUUUAACUAAAACUGAUUAAAAGUUUACCACGUGCCAGACACUAUUUUAAGCAUUUCUCCUGCAUCAUCGCAUCAAAUCCUCAUAGUAACUCUGUGAGAGUUGUUAUUGUUGUUGUUUCUGUUUCACAGACACAGAGGAGUUGAGAGAUUUCCCCGAGGUCACACGGCGACGUGGACCCAGGUGGUUCCAGGGCUUCCCAGAAGUCAGGCUUCCAUUCCCGCAGGAAGGGUGCAAACAGGCCAGUUCCUGCUGUGGGGAGGAGUGGGUGCCACAGUCCCUCAGAUCACUAAUCUAUUCGAUCCUACUGUGUGCCAAGUGCUGCUCUAGGUGCAGAUGAACAAGCCAGGUGGGGCCUGCCCUUGGGGAGCCUGAGGCCAAUGUGCCCGAAGGGUGCCCAGUGCCCUACAGCCCGAGACAGACCCUGGCUGCAUGAGGCCUUGGCGCCACGCCUCUGUGGGGUGAGGGCCAUCUUGAGCCAGAGCCUAGAGUGCAUUCCAGAACCUGAUCUUAUCACUCCACCAAGGACGCUAGUAUUCUGGGGGAUUGAUUUGCUGCAACCAGUGAUGGAUUUAAAACACAUGAGGAAGCCAAUUCAUUCCUUCACCCUGGGCCUGCAGAACCAUCCGAGCUGCACUGGGGCAGUUCUGUACAUCUCCAGUGAAUCCAGCCCUGCACCCCUCUGUUAACGUGCUUUUCAAACCAAACAGUGGAAUGCAUUGGUCAUCACAGGGUUUGAUCUGAUGUGAAAAGUGUUAUAAAGCCAUUCCAAUUAAAGUGCCUCUGGCCUUGUGUUUCCUGAAAGCUGCUAUUGAGAGGAAUAUAAUUGCAUGAGAACAGCA
rnacentral:lncRNA from 1 species